GCAUCUACAACAUUGGUAUUCACUUCUAUAAUAAGAACAAUUUCUCUUCUUUUUCUCUCUUGUAAAUAUUCACUUCUAUAAUAAGAACACUUUCUCUUCUUUUUCUCUCUUGUAAAUAUAUAUAUAUAUAUUCCUUUAAUAUUGUGAUUGACUGUAAAUAAUUUAUUACCUAACACAAUACAAACUAGCAUAACUAGAGACCUAAAUAAAAAGUCUACUAAGAUUUCUAGUAGGUAUAUAUCUAGCCCGCACUCUACAAUUAUUGUAAAUAUACUACACAUAAAUUUAUUGUACAUGGGGAAAAUUUUUAAAAUAAAAAAAAAUAAAUAAAAAAAAAAGUACUGAAGACAAUGAUGAUAAAUUAAAACGGAAAGCAGCAAAGAUCGCGAAAGUUAACAUCAGAGAACAGUUGAAGGACGAUUAAAGGGAAGUAAAUAUAACUGUGUAGACUGUUGUUGUUAAAAAUUUAUAAUUCGUUUAAAUUUGUUAGGGGAGUGUGUGAUGAACUCUGAACAGUAAUAGCUAUAUUUAGAGACACGCGCAAUAUUACCUUAUAUGGUAUAAUGACUUUGUUAUUGUUCAAGAGUAUAGACAAGGUUAAAUGAUUUUCUUUUCUAUACUUAUACAUUUAUUGUAAAUCUAGCUAAUUAUAAGGUAACUUUCAAUGGUGCAUGAAUUGACUACUUGAAUCGUCUGAAUCACAACUGGUAUUUUUUAGUUAAACUAGUAAACAAAUACAUGCAAGUAUACACAUACAAGUAAGAUAUUUCAAAAUUGUAAUAGAUCAGAAUUUUCUCAUUACUUAUUUUGGCAACAGAAGAUGCAAUAAAAAUCUAAUACCAAUAGACAUAAUUUUUCUAACGCAGUGCAUUAUGUGUCUAUAAUUCAGUAUCAAAACCAAUAAUAUUUUCUAGUAUCUUUAUAAAUGUGCAACACUCUUUCGUAAAAACACCUAGAGAGCUCACAGAAAUAUAUAUUUACCAAUAUAGGUAACAUCAUUAACC